rnacentral:rRNA from 1 species
CCCGCCAGAGGUCACUGCUAUCGGUGUUCGACUAAGCCAUGCGAGUCAAAUGUUCUUCGUGAACAUGGCGUACUGCUCAGUAACACGUGGAUAACCUGCCCUUAGGUCUGGCAUAACCCCGGGAAACUGGGGAUAAUUCCGGAUAGAUUAUAGAUGCUGGAAUGCCCUGUAAUCCAAAGCUAUUGUGCCUAAGGAUGGGUCUGCGGUCUAUCAGGUUGUAGUGGGUGUAAUGUACCUACUAGCCUACGACGGAUACGG